rnacentral:rRNA from 1 species
AAAUUGAAGAGUUUGAUCAUGGCUCAGAUUGAACGCUGGCGGCAGGCCUAACACAUGCAAGUCGAGCGGUAGCACAGAGAGCUUGCUCUCGGGUGACGAGCGGCGGACGGGUGAGUAAUGUCUGGGAAAUUGCCUGAUGGAGGGGGAUAACUACUGGAAACG